rnacentral:rRNA from 1 species
GCCUACGGGAGGCAGCAGUGGGGAAUAUUGCACAAUGGGGGAAACCCUGAUGCAGCAACGCCGCGUGGGUGAAGAAGUAUUUCGGUAUGUAAAGCCCUAUCAGCAGGGAAGAGAAUGACGGUACCUGACUAAGAAGCCCCGGCUAACUACGUGCCAGCAGCCGCGGUAAUACGUAGGGGGCAAGCGUUAUCCGGAUUUACUGGGUGUAAAGGGAGCGUAGACGGUUGUGCAAGUCUGAUGUGAAAGCCCGCGGCUCACCUGCGGAACGGCUUUG